rnacentral:rRNA from 1 species
CCUACGGGGGGCUGCAGUGGGGAAUAUUGCACAAUGGGCGAAAGCCUGAUGCAGCAACGCCGCGUGAGCGAUGAAGGUCUUCGGGUCGUACAGCUCUGUCCUAAGGGAAGAAUACUGACGGUACCUUAGGAGGAAGCGCCGGCUAACUACGUGCCAGCAGCCGCGGUAAUACGUAGGGGGCUAGUGUUAUCCGGAAUUACUGGGCGUAAAGGGUGCGGUGGCGGCCCUUCAAGUCAGGGGUGGAAGUCUACGGUUCAACCGUAUGAAGCCUUUGAAACUGGAGGGCUUGAGUGCAGGAGAGGAGAGUGGAAUUCCCAGUGUAGCGGUGAAAUGCGUUGAUAUUGGGAGGAACACCAGUUGCGAAGGCGGCUCUCUGGACUGUAACUGACGCUGAGGCACGAAAGUGUGGGGAGCGAACAGGAUUAGAUACCCCAGUAGUC